CAGCUGGAGGCGCGCCUGCCCGCGCUGGCGCCCGCCGCGCUCUCCGCCGCGCUGCUCAGGGCCUUCGACGCCAUACAGUCGCCGCAGCAUAACAAGCAGUUGGUCUACAAUUUACUGGACUUGUGCGUAAUGGAGCUGUUUCCAGAACUGAACAUUGUAGAAAAUAUCAAAUCGAAAGUACCAAAGAGUUGAGGAUUUGAAGUAUUAAGAAUCGAAGAGACACUAUUUAUUUUAUAAAUAAAGUUCAGCUAGGCAUUUUUUAUUUUUGUAAAUCGAAAAUACGCACGGUUGUUCGAUAUUCUGUUAAUUUAUACGCAGUUUAUAUGUAAUUGUAAAUAUUUCUAUUGUAUAGUAUCGAAUCUAUUUUUAUAAUAUUAGUUACUAAACAAUAUUCGUUCACGUGACCUCUCGGGGUUGUAAUCGAAAAGACCACAAAGUAUUUUUAAAUGUUUUCAGUGUAGAAACAAAACAGAAGUAAAUUAUUUUAAUAUAUG